GACGAACGCUGGCGGCGUGCUUAACACAUGCAAGUCGAACGGAAAGGCCCUGCUUUUGUGGGGUGCUCGAGUGGCGAACGGGUGAGUAACACGUGAGUAACCUGCCCUUGACUUUGGGAUAACUUCAGGAAACUGGGGCUAAUACCGGAUAGGAGCUCCUGCUGCAUGGUGGGGGUUGGAAAGUUUCGGCGGAUGGGGAUGGACUCGCGGCUUAUCAGCUUGUUGGUGGGGUAGUGGCUUACCAAGGCUUUGACGGGUAGCCGGCCUGAGAGGGUGACCGGCCACAUUGGGACUGAGAUACGGCCCAGACUCCUACGGGAGGCAGCAGUGGGGAAUAUUGCACAAUGGGCGGAAGCCUGAUGCAGCAACGCCGCGUGCGGGAUGACGGCCUUCGGGUUGUAAGCCGCUUUCGCCUGUGACGAAGCGUGAGUGACGGUAAUGGGUAAAGAAGCACCGGCUAACUACGUG
rnacentral:rRNA from 1 species